rnacentral:rRNA from 1 species
UACGUAGGGGGCUAGCGUUGUCCGGAUUUAUUGGGCGUAAAGAGCGUGUAGGCGGCCAGGUAGGUCCGCUGUGAAAACUCGAGGCUCAACCUCGAGAUGUCGGCGGAAACCAUCUGGCUAGAGUCCGGAAGAGGAGAGUGGAAUUCCUGGUGUAGCGGUGAAAUGCGCAGAUAUCAGGAAGAACACCCGUGGCGAAGGCGAGUCCCUGGACAACUCCUGACCACUGAGGCACGAAAGCUAGGGGAGCAAACAGG